rnacentral:rRNA from 1 species
UACGAAGGGGGCUAGCGUUGUUCGGAGUUACUGGGCGUAAAGGGCGCGUAGGCGGCGCACCAAGUCAGGCGUGAAAGCCCUGGGCUCAACCCGGGAAUUGCGCUUGAGACUGGUGUGCUUGAGUACGGGAGAGGAUAGUGGAAUUCCCAGUGUAGAGGUGAAAUUCGUAGAUAUCGUAAGGAAGACCAGUGGCGAAGGCGGGUCUCUGGACAGUUCCUGACGCUGAGGCACGAAGGUCAGGGGAGCAAACGGG